CGAAAAGAAAGACCUUUCGGUGAAAGGCUUCCAACUUUAAAAGAGGAAAUUUCAACCAAAAGAGAGAACUUACUGUUUUGAAAGAGUUUGCUGGGUGGAGACAUCAGAAUGAAAGGAUCUUGUGCAACCCUGCUUUUUAGGCCUAAUACUAAAUUCGCCCAUUUAUUCCUUUGCUUCGCACGGGGAAAAUCACUGCGGAAUGCUAUGGGGAAGGCAGAUUUCUGGUCUAGUUGAGAGCACUUCCAGGGUCAGGAAGGCCACGCAAGACGUGUGGGGGGGUGCUCUGUGCAGGUGGUGGGAGCUGGGGGACCGGGGCACCGUCUGCCUGCCCCUAACCUCGAGGAUGGAGAGGUUCAUAACGUGAGAGGUGCCGCUGGUGCAGGGUUUCCCCUUCUCUGACCGGCACGUUGAGCUUUGGGCUUGCUGCCCGUCCUCCCCCUUGCACCACCCCAGCGUGACCCGGCUGCCAGGCUCCGAUAAGGCUGAGGGGAGAUAAGAGGCUCGUUGCCUUCUCCCUCGUCUGCAGCACCAGCAAAUGGCGAGGGUCAGCUCUCAAAACCCUGCGAGUUCUGUGAAAUACAAGGGAAAGUGGCUCCCGAGUGAAACGGGUCACACACAGCCCUGUCUGUGGGGGACGGAUUUGUUAAACACAAAGCCUCGGUGAAAGAAUUGAAAGGGGAAAAGGAAUUAAAGGGCAUUAGAAGAGAGCAGGUUCCCCUUUUCCCCUGCACACCGCCACGUCCCUCAAGAAGACGCCUUGAAGCUCCAGGACGGUUUUACCUUGAGCAAAACCCCAGGUUGUUGAUGUGGCAGAGGGGCGAAGACACACCCCGAGAGACACAGACAUAUUUGAAGCUUUGCCUGAAAGUCGUUGCAUCGCAGAUUAACUGGGACAAUGUAAUCUGUGAAUAACUUUGUAAAGCCUUCAGCCAGCUCUGAAGAAACAGCAAUACAGUCUUGACAAGACUGGGCUACAAAACACUUCACAGCUGAAGAAACUGAGAGGGGAAAGGUGGCUGGAAGUUGAAGCACAGAGGGAGACGUCCCUUGCUGUUCUUUAAGCACUGGUUUGAAAUCAAUGCAGAUAAUGCACUUGGACGGACUGCCUCAUUUACUGGUUUUCAGUAAAUUGCUGGGCUGUGUUUCCCAGUGAUAACGUGAUAGUGAUGUCUAUGCCGGUAAGAAUAUACUUUAGAAAAAAAAAAAAGUCUGCAAUUCCUUGCAAGCAACGUUUGGCUAGUUUAGUCUGGGAUGCCCUGAAUUCUGCACAUUGACAGUAAACAUCUAGGGCUGCUGCAUGUCACUCCUGGUAGUACAACGUGCUUCUGAGUUAUCUGCAGCUUCUUCCAAAGACACAACAAACCCUGUUUCAGCACAAUAGCCUCCUGCAGUGUCAGGCAGCGAGAAACGCCGUUGCCUGCUCACUACAGCCUUGCACAACUCCCCCCCAGCACAGCAGAGGUGUCUUCUAACCAGGGCUCUUCCUUCUUCCUUAGUCCUGAUUUUUUCCCUGGAAGUCAGUGAUAAACUCCCAGUGACUUCACUGCUGCUGGAUUAGACCUGGGGUCCAAUUAUCCUCCUUAAAAGUACAAACGAAUAAUUCAUAGUUCUAAGUAGGCUUGCUACGGACAGCACCACUAGGGAUUUAGUGCACAACACUGGCGUUGGUGCUUGUGUUUUCUCCUAAUAAUAUUUUUUAACUGGAGGCAGAUCUAUUUAUAUAUGCACUGGGAGAAUAAUUUUAUGAGUAAAUAUGAUCUUCAUUAAUAUUUUUUUGUUAAUUCACUGAUGCUAGUAAAGAACUUUGAGGAUGAAAGCACUGUAUGCAAUAAACAUUAAGAUUAUUCCAAUUUAUUUUAAUGUUGCCAGCAUUCCAGCUCCAUCAUCUUUCAUCCAAGAAUCUCAAAGUAUUUUCCAAGUGCUAAUAAAUUUUCUCUCAACAGUCCCAGGAGAUAUUUAUUAUCAUCAUCCCCAUUUCAUAAAGGAGUCCUUCUGAGUGCAUUUUACUUGGUCAAAAUCGGGUCGUAUGGCAGGAAUCUAUUUGGGAAGGAGCCAACAAUCCCUGAUUCCCAUUCUCCUGCUCUUGCUGCUAGACCACAUUCCCUUCUGGGGAGUGUGGUGCGACACUCACCCGCGGCGCUUGCCUUCCUUUGUCAGGUGGUUGCUCUUAAAACAAAAAAUAGACAACAAUAACAUGCCCCGCCCAGGAUGGGCGAGGAAAUGAGACUCUGCAAAGUCAGAAUGAUCGCAGUUGUUCAUCGCACCCAGUGGGCUAGGGUGAGGUUUGCUGGGAGUCCUGGUGCCCACCCGCCUGCCUUGUAAGCGUGGGGACGAAGGGGCAGCUUGGAGGGUAACAGAACGGACGCGUGUCUUCUAAUGUGCAGGAGUAAACCUUAAUUGGAGGCUGUUUUAGAGCCCUGUUGUCAUGUCAGAGUCUUAUAAUCCAUACUCAAAAGACAGUUAAAAUGGAAAUGUCUUCUCAAACAUAGCAUAGGUGAGGGUGUAUAGAGGUGGAGAGUGUAGCCAAGCAUAAAAGAUCUGGGCUAAAUAGCACAUGGUGCAGCUGCGCUUCUAAAGCACUCUCCCCAAACCAGAGGCUAAGCUAAUGAUGAGAAGACCAUUUAGAGACAGCAUGACUCCAGCAAUCCAUGAGAACAAUGCAAAGUUCAAAAAUAGCAGUAUCGACUGGUGGAAAAACAGCAUACAUAUAAUUUUCAGGUAAUUACCAUAGUAUAAUUAGCUCUGUUGUUUUCAUAAGAGCCAUCUGAAAUGAACUCUACUUGCUACUGGAACCCAGCUUUAUUUACAGUGUUCCCAGGACUAAAGUGAUUUUUUAAAAAUAGAGAUUAGGUAAAAAAAUAAAUAAAUAAAUAAAGAUGCGAGUGCUUUGUGUGUGAUACCAUCUCCAUGCAGUGGGUGGAGGCUACCUGCUGACGUCUCGCUCAGCGUUUCAUCCGCCCUACUCCGAGCCACGUUAGGCAACACGAGAGCUGAAGAACUGAGGAGCAGAAGCAAAAUCUACUCCUAGGCUGUCUGUAUGAGGGGGAGUAACGUGUAGCAUCAUAACAGGCACUUACUCUCAAUGUUAUGGAAAAUUUAGCACCUUGAUUUAUUUCUUUUUAUUUUUUAUUUUUUCUUUGCCACAGAACUUUGCUUGUUAUGAUUUAUUCAGUAUCAGUAGAAAGUAACUUCUUGAGCACUGGGGCCUUGCAGUCUCAUGUAAAAACACUUUUAAUUGGAAUGAAAGAGUUUGUCACAGUUAAAACUUGUUUUUUUGUCCGUGUCAUAAGUCCGUGCGGCUUAAUUAUAAACCUGCCUCACCUCUCUGAAGAUAUCCUGGAAGUAGAUGUAACUUUCUGUAGUUUUCUGUCAUUGUGUUUGAAUUGUUCUUGGCCAAUUUCGAGCUCCUGAACAAUCUGACACUUGAGGUGGUGCUUGGCUUUGGUACAGCACUGCACACUUCACGGCUCACUCUGAAUCGGUUACGGCCUGCUGCAGUUGCUUUACUCUUUCUUCUUGUACUGUGCCUACGUGUUAUGAAAAUGGGUGCUAAUGGGGAAAAAAUCACAAUUGUGACUCAGUGAAGUGGAAUUUUGUUGACAAAAUCUGAAUUCAGCUCAGCCAAAGGAAAUGCUUUUCGAGGUGUAGAUGAGUAUCUCAGGAAUGACCAUUUCUUCAAGCUUUCAUGGAAAGAAAAAUAAAGGAAAGAAAGAAAGAAAGAGACGCAAAUUCAAAUAAAAGACCAGAGAAAAGUGAGCAAAUGUAUGUACAGAAAUAGAUCCACUCCACAGGGGCAGUUUUCCUUGGAUAAAAGCUACAGAAGUUAACUGUUGGUAAGUUAAUGUUGGAAGGCCAGUGGGAUGCUGUCACCUUCUUAGCUAGGACUGUCUGUAACUCCUGUGCCUCCUCUCAGUACAGACCACAGUUCUCCUAUGGCUUAAAAUCACCUCGUGUAAACACGUUUUGCUGUUGGGACUACUGUCAUCCUGCACAAAAUCCAACAAGGCUGCAUGAAUGCCUUUUCUUGUGAACCCUUGUGAACCCUUGGCUCCUGAACCCUUUUUCCCCACCGCACCUUGCUUUAUGAAGGUGUAAAGCCCCAAAUGCCCCAGACAGCAACAAACCACCGCUGGGAUCCGUGGGCUGCGUGGUGCGGCGGGGCUGGUCCCCAGGGAGCCCCGCGGGGAGACCUCCUUCUCUUCGGCCUCGCCGAAAACCGUGGUCUCCACUUGACAUCACCGAUGCUUCCUUUGACACAAUCCAAAUAUAGAAUAGGUUAAUUAUGAAGGACGGGCCUUAAGGACAUCAGCAGGGCUAUGAGCAAGCACAUAUCACCCGCUGAUAUUAGGGCGGAAAGGGCUAAGCAAAUAGUUGUAGAGAAUGGGCUAAUUGUUGUGCCUAUUACUAUUGUCCUGCAGCUGCAACACUUUGUAUGGCAGCAAAGCACACAGGGAGUCGGGCUGGACUUGGCAUCCGUAAUUCCAGGCAGGGAACACAAUAUACAGGGCAUUCAAAUAGCAGCGAGCACAAUUAAAAUUUUGAAAGAUUAAAGAAAAAUUGCAAUGUGAAAAGAGUUUUGUAUCAUGGCCAAGGCAGGCUACGGGUGCUUGGUGUUGUAAACUGCACUCGUAUGUGUACAGUAAUAAGGCAAGGUGAUAUUUAGGAACUGAAAAAACAGGAAAUACGCAGAUGAAGCUUGUAUGUGUCACACUGUAACGCUGCAUAUGUAAUUAAAGAUUAUAGUAACUCAUUUACAUAUGCUUUCCAUACUGCAAUAACAUUGUUAUACUAGCAAGUGUAAGGAUAUAAAAUAGGUAAUGGUAACAAAAUGCUUCAGUAUCUUUUUCUAAUUUAGGAUUUUAGGUGAUUAACUCCCUCUCUGUAAAUUUUAAUAACACUGCCAGCAACAAUGUAGUGAAUGUUCUUUUUCUAAAUAAGCAGCAGCCCUUGUUUUUGGCCUAAUUUGAGAGAUGGUGAUACUAUAUGGUAUGAUAUGAUAUGAUACUGCACUUGGAUGUGCAUUUAGAGGGAGAUGUGUAUACCAGCUGAAUUUCAGUUACUCUACGUUGUUGAACUUACGGUAUAGCACAUUGGGCAAUUCCACGUGUGUUUCAUGUAAAGAAUUAAAUGGACUUAUUUUAUAACCUGAUGUACUGGCUACUCCAUUAUUCAGUUUCUUCACAUAUAUUGAAGUAAUUUCCACUAAAAUGUACCUCUGCAACCUUUUUAUUUUUAUUUUUAUUUUUAUUUUUUCACCAGUGAUACAUGUAACAAUUUUUUAUGCUUCCAACAAUCUCAGGAAUAAAAGAUGGUUUUGA